rnacentral:rRNA from 1 species
GGGAACCUCACCCGGCCCGGACACCGCGAGGAUUGACAGACUGAGAGCUCUUUCUCGAUUCGGUGGUGGUGGUGCAUGGCCGUUCUUAGUUGGUGGAGCGAUCUGUCUGGUUAAUUCCGAUAACGAACGAGACCCCAACCUGCUAACUAGCCCUCGGGUCCUGCUUCUGUUGGGCCCGACGGAAUGAUUCGCUUCUUAGAGGGACUCGCGGCGCCUAGCCGCACGAAGGGGGGCGAUAA